rnacentral:rRNA from 1 species
CGGUCGCUGACGGGGAUGCGUUCCAUUAGAUAGUCGGUGUGGUAACGGCUCACCGAGUCUAUGAUGGAUAGGGGUUCUGAGAGGAAGGUCCCCCACAUUGGAACUGCGACACGGUCCAAACUCCUACGGGAGGCAGCAGUGAGGAAUAUUGGUCAAUGGGCGAAAGCCUGAACCAGCUAUGUAGCGUGAAGGAUGACUGCCCUAUGGGUUGUAAACUUCUUUUGUUCGGGAAUAACAGACUUCACUUGUGGAGUUUUGCAUGUACCGUUCGAAUAAGGAUCGGCUAACUCCGUGCCAGCAGCCGCGGUAAUACGGAGGAUCCUAGCGUUAUCCGGAUUUAUUGGGCGUAAAGGGUACGUAGGCGGGCCUGCAAGUCUGAUUUGAAAGCACACGGCUUAACCGUGUGAGGUAAUUAGAAACUACAGGUCUAGAGAGUGGUAGAGGUAAAUGGAAUUCCAAGUGGAGCGGUGAAAUGCGUAGAGAUUUGGAGGAACACCAGUGGCGAAGGCGGUUUACUGGGCCACAUCUGACGCUGAUGUACGAAAGCGUGGGGAGCAAACAGGAUUAGAUACCCUGGUAGUCCACGCCGUAAACGAUGAGUGCUAAGUAUCGGUAGAUUCGGUGCUUAAGCUAACGCAGUAAGCACUCCGCCUGGGGAGUACGGUCGCAAGACUGAAACUCAAAGGAAUUGACGGGGACUCGCACAAGCGGUGGAGCAUGCGGUUUAAUUCGAUGCAACGCGAAGAACCUUACCAGGUCUUGACAGUGUAAAGAAUACUUAAGAGAUUAAGGGCUAAGAAUUAAGCUUGCUUAUUUCACUUUAUAAACAGGUGGUGCAUGGUUGUCGUCAGCUCGUGUCGUGAGAUGUUGGGUUAAGUCCCGCAACGAGCGCAACCCUUAUUGCUAGUUGCCAUCAUUAAGUUGGGCACUCUAGCAAGACUGCCGGUGACAAAUCGGAUGAAGGUGGGGAUGACGUCAAAUCAUCAUGCCCCUUAUGACCUGGGCUACACGCGUGCUACAAUGGCUAAUACAAAGAGUUGCAAAACCGUGAGGUAGAGCUAAUCUCAUAAAGUUAGUCUCAGUUCGGAUUGUAGUCUGCAACUCGACUACAUGAAGUUGGAAUCGCUAGUAAUCGUAAAUCAGAAUGUUACGGUGAAUACGUUCUCGAGUCUUGUACACACCGCCCGUCA